rnacentral:rRNA from 1 species
CAGUCGCGUUGGCUUGGAAUCAGCCUUGCUUUUGCUUGGUGUACUUCCUUGUUAACGGGUCAGCAUCAAUCUUGACCGGUGGAAAAAGGCCAGAUGAAUGUGGCAUCUUCGGAUGUGUUAUAGCUUCUGGUCGUAUACAUCGGUUGGGAUUGAGGAACUCAGCACGCCGCAAGGUCGGGGGUUCGCCCACGUUCGUGCCUUAGGAUGCUGGCAAAAUGGCUUUAACGACCGUCUUGAAACACGGACCAAGGAGUCUAACAUAUGU